rnacentral:rRNA from 1 species
CUCCACCGAAAGAAAAGGAGUGGCGAACGGGUGAGUAACACGUGGGUAACCUGCCCAUCAGAAGGGGAUAACACUUGGAAACAGGUGCUAAUACCGUAUAACAAUAGAAACCGCAUGGUUUCUAUUUGAAAGGCGCUUUUGCGUCACUGAUGGAUGGACCCGCGGUGCAUUAGCUAGUUGGUGAGGUAACGGCUCACCAAGGCAACGAUGCAUAGCCGACCUGAGAGGGUGAUCGGCCACAUUGGGACUGAGACACGGCCCAAACUCCUACGGGAGGCAGCAGUAGGGAAUCUUCGGCAAUGGACGAAAGUCUGACCGAGCAACGCCGCGUGAGUGAAGAAGGUUUUCGGAUCGUAAAACUCUGUUGUUAGAGAAGAACAAGGAUGAGAGUAGAAUGUUCAUCCCUUGACGGUAUCUAACCAGAAAGCCACGGCUAACUACGUGCCAGCAGCCGCGGUAAUACGUAGGUGGCAAGCGUUGUCCGGAUUUAUUGGGCGUAAAGCGAGCGCAGGCGGUUUCUUAAGUCUGAUGUGAAAGCCCCCGGCUCAACCGGGGAGGGUCAUUGGAAACUGGGAAACUUGAGUGCAGAAGAGGAGAGUGGAAUUCCAUGUGUAGCGGUGAAAUGCGUAGAUAUAUGGAGGAACACCAGUGGCGAAGGCGGCUCUCUGGUCUGUAACUGACGCUGAGGCUCGAAAGCGUGGGGAGCAAACAGGAUUAGAUACCCUGGUAGUCCACGCCGUAAACGAUGAGUGCUAAGUGUUGGAGGGUUUCCGCCCUUCAGUGCUGCAGCUAACGCAUUAAGCACUCCGCCUGGGGAGUACGACCGCAAGGUUGAAACUCAAAGGAAUUGACGGGGGC